UGGGGAAUAUUGGACAAUGGGCGCAAGCCUGAUCCAGCCAUGCCGCGUGAGUGAUGAAGGCCUUAGGGUUGUAAAGCUCUUUCGCCGACGAAGAUAAUGACGGUAGUCGGAGAAGAAGCCCCGGCUAACUUCGUGCCAGCAGCCGCGGUAAUACGAAGGGGGCUAGCGUUGUUCGGAAUCACUGGGCGUAAAGCGCACGUAGGCGGAUUGUUAAGUCAGGGGUGAAAGCCUGGAGCUCAACUCCAGAACUGCCCUUGAUACUGGCAAUCUCGAGUCCGGAAGAGGUAAGUGGAACUGCGAGUGUAGAGGUGAAAUUCGUAGAUAUUCGCAAGAACACCAGUGGCGAAGGCGGCUUACUGGUCCGGUACUGACGCUGAGGUGCGAAAGCGUGGGGAGCAAAACAGGAUUAGAUACCCUGGUAGUCCACGCCGUAAACGAUGGAGGCUAGCCGUUGGCGAGCAUGCUCGUCAGUGGCGCAGCUAACGCAUUAAGCCUCCCGCCUGGGGGAGUACGGUCGCAAGAUUAAAACUCAAAUGAAUUGACGGGAUCAUAGCUGUUUUCCCU
rnacentral:rRNA from 1 species